rnacentral:rRNA from 1 species
UACGAAGGGGGCUAGCGUUGCUCGGAAUCACUGGGCGUAAAGGGUGCGUAGGCGGGUCUUUAAGUCAGGGGUGAAAUCCUGGAGCUCAACUCCAGAACUGCCUUUGAUACUGAAGAUCUUGAGUUCGGGAGAGGUGAGUGGAACUGCGAGUGUAGAGGUGAAAUUCGUAGAUAUUCGCAAGAACACCAGUGGCGAAGGCGGCUCACUGGCCCGAUACUGACGCUGAGGCACGAAAGCCGGGGGAGCAAACAGG